UGUUCCUACGGGACGCAGCAGUGAGGAAUAUUGGUCAAUGGCCGAGAGGCUGAACCAGCCAAGUCGCGUGAGGGAUGACGGCCCUACGGGUUGUAAACCUCUUUUGUCGGGGAGCAAGACCCGCCUCGUGCAGGCGGAGCGAGAGUACCCGAAGAAAAAGCAUCGGCUAACUCCGUGCCAGCAGCCGCGGUAAUACGUAGGUGGCAAGCGUUGUCCGGAUUUAUUGGGCGUAAAGUGAGUGGAGGCGGUUGACUAA
rnacentral:rRNA from 1 species